rnacentral:lncRNA from 1 species
CUCAUCACUAACUACCACCGCUGUAAGUGAAGCUCCAGUCGGCAUUGCUUGCACACUUUUUCGUAGUAGCUGCACCUAAUUACUUCAAACCCUUAAUGCUCCUGUGACAAUGAUAUUCUUAGAACAACUUGUUUGACCACAGAAGUUCAGAAGUUCUGUCUGCUCUGCCAACCAUUCUCAUCAUAAGCUACAGCUCUUCAAGGCCUACCUGUUGUUACAACGAGGAAACUCAAAGACAAACGCGAUUUAAUUAGGGAUCUUAUGUAUUAUUCAUGCACUGUAACCAAAUGUAGGCUAACAUUGUUUACUGAAUCAAUGACUGAAAUUAGCCGUUAGCCAGCCAGGUCCUCCUGUACAUGGUGAAACGUCUUCUUCAACAAGAUUACUUCACCUAUUCCAACCACAAAUGGCCCCUCCUCCCCCACUCUCUACAACAAUGUGACAGGAGCGACCUAGGAUGUCUGUUGCUUCUUCUAAGCUGGGAAAUGGAGGAAGAUAACAAUGUGCUGUUGGUGCCAAGAAGUAUCUCUCCACACAGAUGUCUAAGGAUUGUUUUCCUGCUGUAGCAAACUGGCUCAAAUUUAGAUCCUACAUCAACAGUUCCUGCGUUCCUAAAUGACACCCUCAAAGGUGGGCUCCCAAGCACGUGAUAUUUAUAUUAUCCUUAUACACACAACCUGGUUCAAAGUAAAGUAACAGAAAACACAAGAAAUACCUAGUCCACACGACAUGGGAUGUCAAUGACGUCAUUUCAUAUUUUUGUUCAUAUACUGUAUGUUAUUAGCUCAUGUGAUUUUAAAUAUAUGAGACACAGGCCUAUGUCGUAGACUAGGUUGUUGUUUGCCCCUCUGACUAAGUAGGCCUCAUAUGAUACUGUAGCUCAACUUUGGUGUUUGUACACAGUAUGAGCCCA